rnacentral:rRNA from 1 species
AUGAACGCUAGCGGCAGGCCUAACACAUGCAAGUCGAGGGGCAGCACGUUAAAGAGUUUACUCUUUAUGGUGGCGACCGGCGGACGGGUGCGUAACGCGUAUGCAACCUGCCUGACACAGGGGGAUAAUCCGAAGAAAUUUGGUCUAAUACCCCAUAAUACCGAUAUAGGCAUCUAUGUUGGUUGAAAGCUUUGGUGGUGUCAGAUGGGCAUGCGUUGUAUUAGCUAGUUGGUGAGGUAACGGCUCACCAAGGCGACGAUACAUAGGGGGACUGAGAGGUUAACCCCCCACACUGGUACUGAGACACGGACCAGACUCCUACGGGAGGCAGCAGUGAGGAAUAUUGGUCAAUGGGCGGAAGCCUGAACCAGCCAUGCCGCGUGCAGGAAGACGGCUCUAUGAGUUGUAAACUGCUUUUGUACUAGGGUAAUUUGCGGUACGUGUACCGUAUUGAAAGUAUAGUACGAAUAAGGAUCGGCUAACUCCGUGCCAGCAGCCGCGGUAAUACGGAGGAUCCAAGCGUUAUCCGGAUUUAUUGGGUUUAAAGGGUGCGUAGGCGGCAGAUUAAGUUAGAGGUGAAAUUCCGAGGCUCAACCUUGGCACUGCCUCUGAUACUGGUUUGCUAGCGAGUAGAUGCUGUAGGCGGAAUGUGUGGUGUAGCGGUGAAAUGCAUAGAGAUCACACAGAACACCGAUUGCGAAGGCAGCUUACAAAUCUAUAUCGGACGCUGAGGCACGAAAGCGUGGGGAGCAAACAGGAUUAGAUACCCUGGUAGUCCACGCAGUAAACGAUGAUAACUCGUUGUCGGCGAUAUACAGUCGGUGACCAAGCGAAAGCGAUAAGUUAGCCACCUGGGGAGUACGUUCGCAAGAAGGAAAGUCAAAGGAAUUGACGGGGGCCCGCGCAAGCGGAGGAACAUGUGGUUGAAUUCGAUGAUACGCGAGGAACCUUACCCGGGCUUGAAUUGCAACUGAAUGAUGUGGAGACAUGUCAGCCGCAAGGCAGUUGUGAAGGUGCUGCAUGGUUGUCGUCAGCUCGUGCCGUGAGGUGUCGGGUUAAGUCCCAUAACGAGCGCAACCCCUAUCGUUAGUUACCAGCACGUGAAGGUGGGGACUCUAACGAGACUGCCGGUGUAAGCCGAGAGGAGGGUGGGGAUGAUGUCAAAUCAGCACGGCCCUUACGUCCGGGGCGACACACGUGUUACAAUGGUCGGUACAGAGGGCAGCUACCUGGUGACAGGAUGCGAAUCUCGAAAGCCGGUCUCAGUUCGGAUUGGAGGCUGAAACUCGCCUCCAUGAAGUUGGAUUCGCUAGUAAUCGCGCAUCAGCCAUGGCGCGGUGAAUACGUUCCCGGGCCUUGUACACACCGCCCGUCAAGCCAUGGGAGUCGGGGGUGCCUGAAGUACGUUACCGCGAGGAGCGUCCUAGGGCAAAACUGAUGACUGGGGCU